rnacentral:lncRNA from 1 species
GGUGGCCAGGCGGGCCGGGCCGGUCGGGCGCGGUCGGACUGGGCCGGUUCGGCCCAAAGUGGCCGGGCCGGUCCGGUUUACCCCGUUUUUUUUUCUUUUAGGCCUUUCUUUUUCUGUUUUUCUCAUUUCUUUGAUAUCUUUUGAGCUUGAACUCCAAAUUGGUCCAAAUAAAUUCUAGAAAAUUUGUAAAAUCAUGUUCUACCAAGAUACAACUUUUGGGGGGGUAGUUUCCCCUCAGAAUAAAUUAUAUAAAAAUACAUUUUCUCUAGAAAUGCCUCUAGGGCUAUAUAUCUAUUUAAAUAAAAUACCUUUCCAACUCCAAAUAAUUAUCCAAAAAUUAUGGGAUAGCUUCUAUAUGCAUUAAACCCCUUUUAUACAUAAACCCUAUUGGUUUGAAAAUCCAAAGCUUAAAUGGGUGUAAACAAAGUCUUUUAAAGCCCUUUUGAGAUUCAAAUUUGAAUUCAAAUAUGCAAUUGUGGCAUGAUGCUCAUGGAUGCAAUGCACAUGUAAAAGUUUGAAAUUUUGGGAUGUUACAAACGAUGUGACAAGUGAGAGGCGUCGUAAAGACACGGUGGUGGCCCAUGCCUCCGCAGCUCCGAGGGUGCUGCUGGAGGGUGCACUGCCACCGCGUCCUUGCCACGGCUCUCAACAAGGUGCUAC